AAGAAUAGGUAGGGAUUUUCCCAGUCAGAGGGAGGCAUUCCAGGGGAUUGAAUAUGAUGUGGCAAGACACAGAGCUGAGAAAGGUCUUAGCUUUAAUGGCUUGUGACCCACGAAGGGUAAAUGGGACCCUACCAGGAGCUGUGGUCCAGAAUCCCCAUCUGGCGCAGCCCAGCUCCCACAGUGCCUGAAAGGGGCUUUCUAACCACACUGUAGACCUAUCAUUUCAGCAUUAGCCAAGAUGCUUAUUUUCCCCUGCAAUCAAAGACGGAGUGGAGGCCAGCAGAGCAGAAUCCUAGCUCCUUCGAGCCAAGAAAGACUGACUUAUUAGUCUUUUGUCAUCAGACAGUUCAACAAUCAAUGGGCACCAAGCUGACAUUUGGCCGAGUGACAUCAGCAGAGCUGUUGAACCUCAGAUAGGCAGCAUUUCAAUAGCCCGUGGUCACUAGGAAGAAUUGCUACUGGGCACAGCAAAAGCAAAAACAGUGUCAUUCAAAGACAAAAAAGAACCUCAACUCUGCCAGACUGGGGGGAGCAAACCCAUUCAUCACCAGGAUGGUCCUACAAUGACCCAAUUUACAAAUGGGGUGGAAAUGCUCAUUCACAGUCUGUUCCCGGUAGAGCAUUCACGACACAUGGUCUACAUUUAUCAGGGCAAAGAAUGCUUGUCCAGCCUUGCCCUUUUAAAGACUGGCCCGUCCUCAAAGACAGAAAUCUUUUCCUGACUUCUGAGUGCGUUUGUCAUGAAAUGAAUAAAACAGAAGGGAAGAAUAAACCAGGAAAGACAGGCUUGAAAGUGCCAAGUUAUUGUCAUUACCAGAAAACAGGGAGGGCGUGUUGAAGACGGAAGCGCAACAAAAAAUCCUACCCCGACUGACUGCAAAUCGCUCUUUUAGCUUCCAUUAAGUAAUGGCCAUAUUGCUCAAUGAAUGAGGACAGCAAUUACGUGCCUUCUCAUCCUGUCAUCCUAACACCUCAUGGCUGUGGCACACCCUGGCUCUGGGCCAGCAUCACUUUUUCAUUUGAUCACACAGCACGCGGAGAAGAAGGUGGCUCUCGCGGUCCUCAGGCCACAGGGCUCUCCGGUCGGUCUCGCAGACCUUCCUGAGCAAGCACGGACUGAGAACUUGGCAAACUGGAUGGGGAAGUGUCAAGGGCAUACUCUCCAAAUUGCUCUGCUCAGAGCAGAGUACAGCCUCUCCUGGACUCACACGAGAUCUUAAGAGAUGGCAGAUGUACGGAUGUUUGGUGCCCUUUUCCUGUGCAAGUAGACUUCCUGGAGGUCCUUAGGUUGCUGGGCUUGUGAACGGCUGAGCCUGCCUGGCUGGAGGGCUUUGGGGGCUAUAAACCGGAGGGACGCAGAACGGGAUAGAGGAGAGGCUGUUACACCUGCCUCACCGUGCCACGCGGCUCUUACCUCUACUAGCAGAGAUUUAACUUGGGUCCGCUUCAGAGAGCCCCAAGGACACUUGAUUGGAAAUCCCCACACCUCAAGGCUGCCUCCUGGGUUGUUUCUGGGAAAAAAUACCCUGAUGUCCUUUAGAAGCUCAGUUGAGAUGGCUGGCUAGGAAGUAGACAUUCCCUCCCUGGGCUGGGGGCGGGGCGGGGGGGGGGGGGAAGAGCAAGGAAGGCAAGACUGACCGAAAGCUUUUCUCUGAAGGGUUGGAGGGACACUCAUCCCAGGCAAACCAAUAGAUUGGGGCUCUCAGGAUGACCUCCCCACCUCUGCCCUGCUUUCAGCUGCCCUUCAAGCCCUGGGUCAUGUCUUGAGAGUUAGCACUGUCCCUGACAGGGCAGGGGUGGGGACUACCUGGAAGGGGAAUUUGAGUCAUGAGAAGUGUACUGGGUGCUCUAGUUCGUGGGUGGUCUCCAAACCUUUUUGGCUACAUAUGCCAUGAGUGAAAACUGUUUGAUGAUGCGUGCUCAAAAGAUGUAGUUUCAUUUAUAAAUUAUUUACAUGUACUGUCAUCUAUCACGUAUUUAAUAUUGGUAAACUUGCUUCCAGAUAAAAAAUAAGUAUAAAUAGAA